GGGACGAAUGGACACAGUGGACACACCGAUGCCCACGGACCCAGGACAGGGCAUCUGGACAUGGAUCUCGGCGUGUUUGGCUUUCUCUGUCCCAGGGGCUGUCCCAUAAGUAGGGAAGGGUGAAGGCCCCUGUGGGCUGUGCAUCUUGGGUCUGUGGCCUGAAGAAGAAUCCUUUCCUGCUCACGACGGAUAUGCCUUAUGACCUCGCAGACCGCAAAAAGAAGGAGAUCCAAAGCUGAAAAGGGCCACAGCCCCCAGCCUCCUCUCCACCUUUCCAUUCUCCCUCAGCAGAACCUGAAGGCCUCAGAAGGAAAGUGCAUGCCCUAGCCAAGCCACCUCCUCUUGCCAGGCAUCUUAGAUGAUCCGAGACCAUCAGCCUCUCCCAGGGUUGAACUGGAGGAGGGACAGGUAAGAGUAGGGCAGUAGGAAGGGGCAGACAAAAGGCAGGUGGUGGUUAUAAGGAAAUAUGGGGGGGAAGGGAAUUUAGGGAUCCCAGAACAAGAGGAGCCCUCCCCAUUCUAUAGCAGGGGCGCUCCAUUCCUCAUACCUGUGUGUCCAGGGGCAGGGGGGCUCUGGCCACCUCCCCUUUGGGCAACAGCAGCAGGGAGGGGAGAGAGCCGUUGAUGGGUGCUUGUGUGCUGACCUGGGCCCGGUCUCCAGGCCGGAUUCUCCCAGGACUCCCCACUCUAAGCCCUCCUGGCCGCCCCAGGCUGUUGGUCUGACUCUCCCUCCUCUGAUACUCAAUAGGUGACUGCAAUGCUGGGGCAAAGAGAGGAACAGGAGAGUUACAACAGAGACAGGCCUUUUCCCUAAGAGCUCUGCCCAGACCACCCUCCCACUUUGCCCUCCUCCCAUGAACUGUCAGCCAGUAUAAAUUGCUGGGGAGAUGAAGAGAAGCUGGGGUCAGAGGGCAGGGAUUGGAGACUGGGCAGUGAGGGAGGGAUUCAGGAGGUCAAAGGGCCGAAGGAACAUGUGGGGGAGGGAGGGUGAGAGCUUCACCAUUGAGAAAGUUCCGCUGGCUUUCCAGGAUCUGAGCCACUUGCUUGAUCCAGGCCUGACUGACCGCAGGAUCUGCAGUCUGUAGGACAUAGCGCUGGAUCCCACCCUCUGGCCCUCUGGAGGUCAGUGCAAAGCGGCAAGGGUCACCUUGGAGGUUCCCCUCCAGUCCCAGGCAGCUCACCUGGAUUGGCAAAUAGGAGACAGCCCCCAAAUUCUUUAGGCCCUCUCUGGUUCCUGCCCCUUCCAACAAAUCCAAGAACCAGACAUUCUCUCAGAGGUCUCACCCUAUCCCAGGCAGACCCCUCCCUUGUGGCCUCCUCCCCACCUUGAUGCUGCUCUUGUACACAUAUCCAGCCUGCGUUCCACCUCGUACUCCUCCUCCCAGGGCCUCGCUGAAGAUGAUGAUUUGCUCAAAGAGGAAGACACGUCUCUCUCGACCCCGGGAGGAGAGCAGACCGCCAGCCUCAGGCUCUGUGACCCAGAAUGUGUCCUGGCCCAAGAGCUUCCCCUGAGCAGUCAGUUUGCCCUAGAACCAAAGGACGGUGGCUUUGAGAAAAAAGCGAGAAGAGAAAAGGGACACUCUCUGUUCCUCCCUCCUUCCCCUGACGCUCCCAACCAACCAUGGGGUCAGUCCCAGGGGAGGACAAUUCCCCAUUAGGACCUCCCAAGUACUCAGACUGGGGCAGAAGAGCAUUGGGCCUCCAGUUUCCUGUUCUAUCCCCAUACCUCAAACCCCCGAAGUCUCCCCAGGGUCAUCAUGUCAUUGCAGCGCUUGGGUACAAAGCACAUGACCUCCACAGCUUGCUGGGUCGCAGGUGAAGAGAGAAGCAUUGUCAUUGUCAAGGAAGAGACCUCUUCAGACCAUGUUUCACCUCUCAACCAGCCUCCCCGUAAAAGCGAGACAGCUCAAACCACCCAAGGAGCUGGGAGAACCCAGAAGACUAAAACAGUAAGAUCCUGGAAGGAUAAAAAAAAGUGUCCAGGAAGAUCUGGGAGUCCUCACCUCCAGCUCUUCAGUAUCCAUCCCAGCUCUACUGUAAUAUUUGAGAAAAUCCUAAGAUGUAGAAAAGAAACGCUCAGGGAGGUUUUGAGGACACCCUCAGAAACUCUCACAUCCUCCCCUUGAAGGCACAGGUGAGGAUGCCCAGGAAGUAUGGGGGGCGCCUUAGGAACUCUGAAGAGAUGAAUGAGAAAAGGGCUGUCCCAACCAGAGGUACCCCCAGGGAACAGGUGGUCCUGACCUUGAGCAACAGCUGGUAUUUCAUGAUCCUCUGCACUGGUUUGAUGAGGAGGUCAUUGAGCUGCAGGCGGUGCCCUAGCUGCUGCCGGAGCUCCUGGGGACAGGGACUGGGUGGUUAUGUAGCCUGGAAAGCCUGAUGAUUCUGUUCCCCUUUCCCCAAGGUGCCUCGGCCACUGACCUCAAAGUAGCUGUCCCCAAACUCUGACACCACGUGCUCGGACUUGGGCUUAUUCUGGCAGUACACCACGUACAUAUGCAGCCUGCGCUCCUAACAGGGGUAAAGUUUAAGGAGAGCAGGAUGGGUGCGGAGAGAAAGCCCCUCUCCAGAGAGCUGCGACCCACUCCCAAGCCCCUCCCCUCCAGGGCCCCACCCUCUUAAGCCUCACGUGUUUGAUGAAUAGCUGAGCCAGCCAAUCAGGAUCCUUCAAACACCGCUGCAGCUCCUGCAGGAAAUAGCUGGAAGGGUUGGCAGGGAAAAGGCUGGUCAAAUACCCCCACCCCACUCAACUUAGAGCUGUCUACCCUAGCUGUGCCAUUAAGCCACUCCAAACGUUCCUCAGGCAACAGUGGGCCCAUGGGUGGGAUACAGAGACUACCAAACAUCCAUGCCCUUCACCCUCACUCUCAGGAAUCCAUCACUCACUCUCGAUGCCACUCAUAGAUUUGCUGGAUGUUCCCAAACACAAUCCUGUCACGGCCUCGAAGACUCUCUGGGACCCCCUGAGCGGCCAUGGUGGCCAUGUAACCCUGUAGGAAGGUUGGGGUGAGAGCGUGAGCGUCAGGGGCCAGCCCUGGUAGGAAAAACCCCUCCCCCCCUAGAAGUCUGGGAUGUAGGGGAGGGUGCUGGGAAGGUGGGACAGAGGAGUAUCAAGGCAUCCCCUAAAAUUAGCCUUGGGCAGAGGGAAAGGGCUGGGCUAGAGCUGAGAAGAGAAAAGGGACCUACCUCCACAAUCUGCCCCAAGUCGUCCACAUACAUUUUCUCUGUCUCUACCAGUUCACUCAAGACAUACCUGGGAAGAGAGCAGGAGUGCACAUGGUUGAUUUAGCCACUUCCUCCCUACUGGACUAGAAGCUCCUUCAUUACCACAACCAACCUCAGAGGAAAUUCCAAGUAUCAAAUCUAAAAUGUGAGGGACAGUUCUCUGGAAGUUGCACAACUGGGGGGCGGGGGGAGGGAGCAAAAGGGAGGGAGAGUGUGGGGACACUUACAUACUCCUUUCCAGAGCCUUCUUCUUCUGUUCCUCCUCACUCUCAGGGGCCUGGGAUAGGGUCUCCUCCUCAGGUGGCUGGAAGGAAAGAACAUCCUAGAGUAAGCAAAUGGAUGCCUUUUGGGGAGCUAUGCAGAUCCAUUUCUUCAUACCUGUGUCUUAUCUCCAGGGCCCUCCAACAAUGUGGUCAGCAGGGUCAGUUCUGGCAGCUCCUCUCCAGUGGCUAGAGCUGGUUCCAGCAUCCAGUUCUGGGAGCCAGAGGUCAAGUGUCAGAGGUCAUGGACAGUAGCUACCUCUCCCCAAUGACCGGUGGCCCCCAACCUGCCCUCUCUCCCAGUGUCCUUCAUGGAUGUCAUACAUGCUUCUGUGGUGCUCCCUGCUCACCUCAUAUGGUCCAGCCUGGCCACCGUCUGCCUCAGUUUCCACACUGAGACAAUGUUUGGAAUGACCCAACCAUCUUCUCAGGCCACUGACUGGCCCUGGGGGGCCCGGGGAACAGGGGCCAGAGCUGAGGCCAGAGCUGGGGCCAGAGAGGGCAGCCAGACCCGAAGCAGCUGAAGCUGAGAUACUCCCCUCACUGCCAGCAAUGGAAUAGGAUUCUAAUGGGGAGUGGGGGGAGAAAAGGGGCCAUAGAUAUUACUCUAGCUCCAGAUGCAGGGCCCCUAGGGAGCUCCCAGAGGCUCCUCUUCAUGAUGCCGAGCCCCUCUCCCCCAGGGCCCACUCUCUUGCCAUCCUCAUUUGAGUUGGCAGGGAUAGAAAAUUUCACCUAGGCACCCUUGGAAGGAAGGACAGUAAACACCUGGGCUCCCAAGGCCUGGAAACCUCCGUUCCCCCAUAUCCUGAGCAUGGCAUAGAUAUGGGGGGACAGCCAUCUGGGCAGACACUGGAAGCUGAGGGUGGCCAUCUGCUCUCCUACAAUCUGCCCCCUUCCAAUGGGCACAGACCAUUCCCUGAGAAGGUGGGGGGGGGGCAGCUAAAAGCCCAUCAGCCACCCCCAGACUCCUCCUCCACCAGUUGCAGUAAUCACUAUAAAAAGAAAAGACUUCUGCAGCCCAUCUCCCCAACACAUGCACAAACCCAAUAGAGGGGGCAAGUGAGGAGAGCUCGUGAGGGCUAUCUGCCCUGGGCCCAGGAACAGAAGAGCUGUGCUUUGUCAUAAAGCUCCUGCUAGACCCCCAUCCUCAUUCCUCCAUUCCUCUGGCCCUUUUCAGAUCUGAAGUAGAUUCUCAGCAAAAGGAUUUAAGGAAGAUGCAGUUCUAGGCCCAAGGGGAUUGUGGAUGGGUUUUUCUCAUACCCAGUUGACUACAAAACAGAGAGCAGAGUCUCCUGCCCCUUCCCCAAUUUCCUUAACUUGAACUGAUAAAAAUUUGGAGGCAGACGGGAUCUUGGAGAUCAUCUAUUAAGUCACUUUCCUGGAAAACACAGGUACAGGUCUCCAGCCUCUAAAUCCCUAGGGGUCAGCGCAAUCCGAAGUCCUGAACCCUCGGCCCGCCCCCCGCCCCAACUCAACACUGGGCCGUUGCGACCUCCUCGAACUCACCACGUCCCCCCCGGGCGAAGCAGCAGCCGCAUUUUGCCAGCACUUUUCGGAUCACAUGGGGACAGGCACAGCGACCCCCCUUGUGCCCCCCCCGCAUGGCGCCCGGGCCCCCCCGCACCCCCCACCCGGGCCGGCCAUGCAGGGGGAAUCACGGGGGGCGGGGCGGGGACGGCGCCGGGCGCGCACCCCCCCUCCCUCCUACCCCGCUCCAGGCUGGGGGAGGGGGGGAGGGAGGGAACAGGGAGGGGGAGUCCAGGGGUAGGCGGAAGUCUGGUCUGGAGGAGGGCUGGGGGCUCUGCAGAGCGGGCGGCGCGAGGCCGGGCGGCCGAGCUGGGCGGGGAGUGUUUCCGGAACCCAGUCGGUGCGUGGCCCAGGGUCCAGAUGUCCAGCGGGGAGGGGAGGGAUGGUGGGGAAAGCUGGGCCGGGAUGCGGCAGCCUCUCCAGCUGUGUCUCCGGCCUCUCGGGUUUGGGAUGGUUCUAGGCCCGGGCAGGGAGAAGGCGGGGGCCGACUCCCCGAGUCACUGGCGCUGCGCGGGUCCGGGCCGAACGGCGAGCCGAAUAACAGGCCCGGCCGCGGUGCCGCCGCGGGGAGGGGCCUCUGCGGCCCAGCUCCGCCCUCUCCCUCCCGUUCCCCGCUCCAGCCCCAGCCUGUGCCGCGCUCCAGCCCCAAUCCCCCUCCCCCAGGCACCACCACGUUCCCACUCCACGUCCCCACAGCCUCCGCCUCUCCACUCCAGCCUCGGCUCCCCCGCCUCGGGUUCCCCUCCCUCCUGCCUCUCCGGCUCCCGACUGCGGUGCGCUGGGUGGGGGUUAAGCCGGGCGGCGGGGUCUGCCCAGGUCGCCCCUCAGCCUCUGCGGUGGAGAAGGGAGCGGACGGAUGGGCCUGGAUCUGUGCGAAGACGUCCUGGGUGUUGGGACUGUCCCAAGCCGCGCAGGGGUAGACAAGCCCCCUCCCCAACUUCGGGGAUGAGUGAAUGGGGAGCUCUGUGGGGAACACCGCCCAGGUGCCGCCCUCUCGCCAGACCCUUCUUUCCUCCAGGCCCCAGGACUCCAGCUGAGGCUAAUCACCAAUUAAGGCGAAGUCCUGGAGCCUGGGCUGGCGACGAGCCAGGGGUGGGGCGUGGGGACACUCCGCCUGCGGGGGCUCGGGACCAGCUGAUGUGGGGGACACACAGCGGACUAGAGGGCGAGAAGCCUGGAGGUCUUGGCAAUUAAAUGGGUCUCAUGCAGAUUAGAUGCGAACCUUUAUGCUAAUAAGCGCAGCAUUACUUGAAUUCGCCACUUUGCGCAGGACCGCAAACUGUGCCCCACCCACCCCCAGCUUCUUACCGGGCAGCGGAGCCCAGGCGGGAACCUCACGUUCGCGCUCCCCUUUCUGAUGCCCCUCGGUACAGUCAGACUGUGGCUCGGUCCCUCCUGGCCCUAGGGGGCUUCUCUUCGGGGGCUGUGUGGUAGUAAGGUAGUAAGAUUGGUAGUAAGGAAACCGCCCUCCACGCCCAGACGUGACCUCCCGCUUUCCCUUCUUCCUCCUGUCAAAUCCGUAUUGUUGUAAAACGGUCGCCGCGGCUGGGUUGGAGGGAGCGGUUCACCCAGACCAGGGCUAUGGCCCUCUUUUGGAACUCUUAGAUUCCUGCAGAAUUCUGCCCUGCAGAAUUCCUGUUUGCAGGUAAAUUCAUUUGUGGGGUGCAGACCUCCUGAAACCGCCUAAAGAUACCCGACCCCACCGUGGUCCCCCUUUCUUACCCCCGCCUGCCCGGGUAGGGCGCAUGCGCGCAGCAUGCCCCCCAUGACCCCCAGUAUCCGGUCAGUGCGGCCAGGGGCGGGGCGGUCCGGGGGCUUCAUGCUGGACCCCUACCCUGCUCCAAGUUUCAGGGCUGAGGGGGCACGGAAGCUGGGGGGCUCAAGGCCUGCGUGCGUCCGGGGAGUUGCUGCUGCCGAAUCCGCCCCCUGCCCGGCUCCGCCCCUACUCCCAUCCCAGCCAAACUUCUCAAAGGGGUAGGGUUGUUCCUUUCUCUACAACCAAAGUUCAACAACAAACAAACCCCUCUAAAUCCUGAUUCGGACAUGGAAGUGGCAGGAGCCCACUAAAUACCUUCUCCCAAGCGCUCUGGAGACAGAGAGACUGGGGAGAUACACAGGGAUUUCCCCCGACCACCACCCCCUUCCCCUUCUCAGCAGGUUCCGCUCCCCACCCCACCCCCACCCUGGUCCACAGAACUGAACGGGUGUGGCAUGGAGAGUUGCAUAUUUUACUUUAUUUUUAUUAAAUUAAAAGCUACAGUCUGGCGGCGAUUCCAGAACAGGGUAAAGAGGCUCCUUAUAGGGGGCAGAGAAGAGCGGGAGACAGACUGACAGAGACGGAGACACAGGAGAGAAAAGACAAGGUUAAGGUAGAAGGGGGAUUAUUUCUGAAGAACACACAAGGCCGGCUCCUUGGGGGCUCACACCAGCCCCAUUCCCCCUCCCCCACACCUAAGUUCAGCAGUGGAGAAGUUUGUGGGGGCAGGGGGCUCAAGAGACCCUCCCUCCCCACCCAGGUCCUUUCUCAGCUUAGUCACUGGAGCACAGCACAUACCAGAAAAAGCCAAGGGCAAUGGAGGGGGUAGGGAGAUCGGGAGUAUGUACACAGGGAGGAGGGGAGCAGAGCCUUCUGCCAGAAGGGAGUGGCUCUCGCACUGCACUGAAGCACUUGGCCUGUGGGGGACAGGGGAAGGGAUUGCCCCCUCCCUCUCUGAACUCCUUCCCCAGUCAGACUGGUCCCCUAUUUGUGUGGCGUGGGGGGCAGAGGGAGAGAGGAGAACAGAGGCUUCCGCUGGGUCCUAUGGAGAAAGGCAAGGGCCUGGCAAAGGGGACGUCCUUCAGUCAUCUGUGAUACCCUUGGC